UGCGUAUUUUGCCCAGGCGGAGCUCGACCGCCCACUGAAGCGAUGAUUGCCUUCAUCGAAGAACACCGAGGUGUGUUUGGGAUCGAGCCGAUUUGCAGGCUGCUGCCGAUUGCCCCA
rfam:Labrenzia sp. OB1 scaffold65.1, whole genome shotgun sequence.